AGUGAACGCUGGCGGUAGGCCUAACACAUGCAAGUCGAACGGCAGCACAGUAAGAGCUUGCUCUUACGGGUGGCGAGUGGCGGACGGGUGAGGAAUACAUCGGAAUCUACUUUUUCGUGGGGGUUAACGUAGGGAAACUUACGCUAAUACCGCAUACGACCUACGGGUGAAAGCAGGGGAUCUUCGGACCUUGCGCGAUUGAAUGAGCCGAUGUUGGAUUAGCUAGUUGGCGGGGUAAAGGCCCACCAAGGCGACGAUCCGUAGCUGGUCUGAGAGGAUGAUCGGCCACACUGGAACUGGGACACGGUCCAUGCUCCUACGGUAGGCAGCAGUGUGGAAUAUUAGACAAUGGGCGCAAACCUGAUCCAGCCAUACCGCGUGGGUUAAGAAGGCCUUCGGGUUGGGAAGCCCUUUUGUGGGGAAAGAAAAGCAGCAGGUUAAUACCCCGCUGUUCUGACGGUACCCAAAGAAUAAGCACCGGCUAACUUCGUG
rnacentral:rRNA from 1 species